rnacentral:rRNA from 1 species
UACGUAGGGGGCGAGCGUUGUCCGGAUUUAUUGGGCGUAAAGAGCUCGUAGGCGGCUUGGCAAGUCGGGUGUGAAACCUCCAGGCUUAACCUGGAGACGCCACUCGAUACUGCCAUGGCUAGAGUCCGGUAGGGGACCACGGAAUUCCUGGUGUAGCGGUGAAAUGCGCAGAUAUCAGGAGGAACACCGGUGGCGAAGGCGGGUCUCUGGGCAGUAACUGACGCUGAGGAGCGAAAGCGUGGGGAGCGAACAGG